rnacentral:rRNA from 1 species
ACACGCAUGACACACUGCAUAUCAAUAAGCGGAGGAAAAGAAACUAACAAGGAUUCCCUUAGUAACGGCGAGUGAAGCGGGAAGAGCUCAAAUUUGAAAUCUUCAAGGUUCUACCUUGACGAAUUGUAGUUUAUAGAAGUGUUUUCUGUUAGUAGAGUGGCAAAAGUUCUUUGGAAUAGGACAUCAUAGAGGGUGAGAAUCCCGUAUUUGGUCAUUCCUCCUAGCGUUGUGAUACACUUUCAACGAGUCGGAUUGUUUGGGAAUGCAGUCCAAAAUGGGUGGUAAAUUUCAUCUAAAGCUAAAUAUUGGCGAGAGACCGAUAGCGAACAAGUACCGUGAGGGAAAGAUGAAAAGAACUUUGAAAAGAGAGUUAAACAGUACGUGAAAUUGUCAAAAGGGAAGCGUUUGACACCAGUGUUGUCUUUCCGAAAACCAAUUACGAAUGUUUUAUUUUUGAGGAGUUAUGACUUCAUCGGCUUGCUUCUUUCUUUAUGAAACUUUCUUAAUGCACUUUUCGGUUAACAAGUCAACAUCAAUUUCUUUUGUUGUAAAAGGGUAUGAGGAAGGUGGCUUUCUUUUCGGAGAAAGUGUUUAUAGCCUUGUGCCUCUGCAAUCGGAGAGAUUGAGGUCUGCAGCGUAGAUCCUUCGGGGUUAGAUACAUUUGUGCUAAGUUAUAGCUUUUCAUAGACAACUUGUUGACUAUGUUUAGUCUUGUAGCUUACUCGCUUAUGCUAUUUUACCUACGCUUAGGAUGUUGACGCGCGUGUGUGCGUG